rnacentral:rRNA from 1 species
GAGAGGGGAACGGGCGAGUAAUAUAUCGGAACGUACCCUAGAGUGGGGGAUAACGUAGCGAAAGUUACGCUAAUACCGCAUACGAUCUAAGGAUGAAAGUGGGGGAUCGCAAGACCUCAUGCUCGUGGAGCGGCCGAUAUCUGAUUAUCUAUUUGGUAGGGUAAAAGCCUACCAAGGCAUCGAUCAGUAUCUGGUCUGAGAGGACGACCAGCCACACUGGAACUGAGACACGGUCCAGACUCCUACGGGAGGCAGCAGUGGGGAAUUUUGGACAAUGGGCGAAAGCCUGAUCCAGCAAUGCCGCGUGAGUGAAGAAGGCCUUCGGGUUGUAAAGCUCUUUUGUCAGGGAAGAAACGGUGAGAGCUAAUAUCUCUUGCUAAUGACGGUACCUGAAGAAUAAGCACCGGCUAACUACGUGCCAUCAGCCGCGGUAAUACGUAGGGUGCAAGCGUUAAUCGGAAUUACUGGGCGUAAAGCGUGCGCAGGCGGGUUUGUAAGUCUGAUGUGAAAUCCCCGGGCUCAACCUGGGAAUUGCAUUGGAGACUGCGAGGCUAGUAUCUGGCAGAGGGGGGUAGAAUUCCACGUGUAGCAGUGAAAAUGCGUAGAUAUGUGGAGGAACACCGAUGGCGAAGGCAGCCCCCUGGGUCAAGAUUUGACGCUCAUGCUCGAAAGCGUGGGGAGCAAACAGGAUAAUAUACCUCUGGUAGUCCCACGCCCUAAACGAUGUCUACUAAUUGUCGGGUCUUAAUUUGGACUUG